AACGAUGGCAAAUCUGCAAGAGAAAGGCUUGGAGAUAACCUUUAUUCCCUAAAUGCUAUGUAAAUUUUAGGUCAGUAAGGAUGGCUAUAAAUAGUAAAAUAACAAAAAUUUUAACUGUCUUUUCAGAAAUUAACCAGAGAGAGCAUCCAAUGAAGCUGACAAGCUGCAACUUUGCAUCAAAAAGAAGCUGUGUAUCCAGAGAUUACUUUGGUUUCCAGAGAAGAAAGACAACAUCAGAAGUGCUCAUAAACAAAAUAUUAUCUUUGUCCCAGAUGAAAUUUAACUGAAGGCUUAUCAGAAGGAUUUCUUCUGAUUGGAGCUGCUUUUACUAUCAUUCCUUCUUUCUCUUUGCCAAGACUGUGUUUGCAAAACAGAAAACCCGAAUCCAAGUCCCUGCAUCUGGUGUCAAUUGAAAUAAAACAAAGACAGGCUCAUUUUAGCCA
rnacentral:lncRNA from 1 species